AGGCUGAGGCCGAACCUGAGCCUCAUUAUGGAGGUUAUGGCUAUGGCCUUUCCUACCCUUAUGGCAUUGGUCUCUAUCGUCCGUUUGGCUAUGGUUUUUACAGACCUUUCGGUUAUGGAUAUUAUGGCUGAAUCUCUUCCAGAUUAUAAUCAGUAUGGAGUUUAAAAUAUAGACAUGCAUUAAGAAA
rnacentral:lncRNA from 1 species